AGCGCUUCAAAACCUAGAUCCACCCCUGGAUUAAUCUGGAAAAGGAAGCAGUGGGUUUGGAAAAUGGCUGUAGUCUCGCCUAAUGCAAAAAUGCAAGCUUCCAGGUCUAAGACAUCAACACAUGUGUCAAGGACCCUCCAUUGUGGAGAGGGACACAAUUGUCUUUCUAAGCAGACAAGGAGCUGUAGAAGAUAGCAUAUGUGAGGCUCAUGAGAGAGGGACAAACUCGUCCCAGUUUCCCUGAGAUGGCACCAGUUUUAAAAUCUAAAGCAUUUGGUCUCGGAAACCCACUCAGUUCUGGGCAAACUGGGAGGAUGGGUCACCCUCCUUGUUGAGGAUAAACGCAUAUCACUGUUGGUCACCACGGAGCUCCCAAGUAGCUGAUUGCUUGGCGUCAGGUAGGGGUCCGGUAACUCUUCGUUGAGUGAGUGGUGUGUAAACCAACCAUGGUGCCCUGUGAGCUGGAGGAGGGAGCUGCAUGGGCUGCUGGGGGUGGGGGAGCAGGUAGAUUGCCUGGAAAUCCAGGGUGCAAAUCAAGCCUGCGAUGGUGAAGUUGGAUCAGAGAGCUUGGAUCAUUAUUGGAGGGAGGAACGUGGAAUAUGAUGAGGGCAACCACCCACACACAGGCAAAGCUUUCUCCGAUGACUUCCCAGUUUCGCUCCGAAUCCAGGAAGAAAACAGUUCCCCUGAAUAGUUACUUCCUAGGUGUUCCUUAGGACAGAGAUUUUGGAAGAUAAUUUGGCAUGCUGUCCUCAGUGGUCCCUCUCAGUUUAAAGCCUUAAAGAUGGACAAACGUACAUUGGUUUCCUGGCAGGCGCUGAAAUUCCGAAGCCGACAAGCUGGCUCCAAAAAUCUUUCCCUGGAAAUGAGCACACUUUCUCAUAGAGCCACUAGAUGGCGUGUGACAACCAUUUGUGUCAGCCUACACAGGCUUCCCUUCUGUCAAUAACUUAACCAAACGUGUUCUACAACAGUUCCUGCAAGACAACUUUGCUAAUAGAUGAUCGUCAUUUCAGUCUUUAUAUGGAAAUUUAAAUGCUUCUGAUUUAUGUUUUUGAAGUAGAUAAAAUCUUCACUGGAAGAGAUACAUCAGAAAGUGUACUUGCUAUGUAUUAACAUUAAUAACACUCAGCACUUAAAGCUGAAUUAAGAUACAAAUAUUAAAUGUCAAAAUGUGGCCUGCCCAUUUAUCUACUCAGGCUUCAGCAAACUUUUAUUAAGUGAAAACUGUGUGGUAGAUGUUAGUUGUGCUUCUAAAAUGUUGAUAGAACGUUUUUAUUACCAGAAAUUAGUCAAAUAUUUGAAAAUAAAGAUGGCAAUUCCACGUUUUACAGUUAAGUCACCAAUGUAAUGUUAAAAUGAAGUAAGUGCUGGAAUUUCAGCAACUUCAUAUCUGAGGUAGAAAAAAUCUGAAAUUCAGGGGCAAAAGAAAUCAAGUAAGGCACUUGGUAAAUUCUCUUCCCCUCAUAGCAAAAUAUGAUUCCCCAAAUCACCACCUUAAUAAAUGUAAUUGCCUAGAAAGAAAAUAAGCUAAUAAAUACACCACUUCUAUAGUAGGGUCAGUUUUCUCUUUUGUGUCCUUUGUUACUAAGUAUAGGUCUGAGAUACUGAGCUACUCAUAGGAAUGAGUAUUUUAUGACAUAAUUUUUUUUUGUCUAUUUGCUGAUAAACCUUAAUAAUAAUAACGGCUUUUUCACAGUGUUCAGAAGGACAUGAGGUGAUUUCUUCAAAAGUUAGUUCCACACCUGUGGAGCUAAUCAACAAAUCUCUAAGAUCUAUUCCACUUCUAAGAAUCAACGAUUAAAAGAAAAAAAAAAAACAUUCAAAUUAUUUCACCCUUCUCAUAGUAGGUGUGAUAUUUCUUCUAAGUCAGCCUCUACCCCAGAGAAAAGAAUGGUCUCAUUUUUAGAAUUGCUGGCUGUUUGUUUGAACUGAAGAAUUAGUUGCAUUUCAAAAUAAAGACAUGGCUAAUGAAAUGAUUAAAACAUACAGAACAUUAAAUUAUAAGCAGAUGGGGGUGAGAGGAGGGAAGGGUGGGUGGUGAGUUUGCUAGAGACCUGAGUCCAGGAAUGUUGACAGCUUUGGGUUUUUUCUCAAUAAUACAGAAGAUGAUUAUUUAAGCAAUAAAAGAUAGAAAACAGCUUCUGAAAGAAAAAAAAAAUGUUUGAUAGGAAUAUGUAGGAAGAGCCAGAGAGUAAAAUCCAUAUGUAUCGUAAGUGUUUAAAGAGAUGGCUGCUAUGGAAGGAACCUAGAUAUUCACACUGAUACUGGGAAAAGGAGCCAGUAUAUUUGCAAGUGUACCAGGAUGGUGGUAAGUCCUACAUGAGCAGAGAGGAUCAGACAGGCCCAGAAUAGGCCAUGGUUCAGGGUUUGGAGUCUUCAGAAGAAAGUCAGAUGUCUCCCUGGCCAUUGUCUGGUCCCAGUUAUUCAGGUAACCCUGUCUCUCUUCCCUCCUCCCUGAAGUUUAUAAUUUUAAAUUCUGCUCCAUAUAGUUAAAAGAUAAGAACUUGAUGAGAUGACGUUUAGAACAGCUGAAAAAGAAGUUUGGCAAAUGGGAGCAGUUCACAGACUGUGCAAAUUGUCUCAGUGACACUAUAGUUCGGCAGAAUCCAUGAGAGUUUUAUCUUGAGUUUCUAUCAGGCCGCAUUCAGCGCAAGCUGGUUCCCUGGAAACAGACAUUAAAAAAAAAAAAAAAAAGCCAAAAACUAAACCUGUGCGACAUCUCUCUCUUUCCUCAAUAUUCGAUGGCAGGUUUGACUCAUCUGAGCUGCCUCCCUGAACAGCAGCCCUGAUUGUCUUCGAGUGCGGGUUAAUGGAUGUAGGUCUAGAGAUAAAGGAAAUACACCCUCUAAGAUUUUGUCUAAUUUUUAAAAGGCAUCUCACCUUCCUAAGUGGUGUGUCUUCUUUGUCCUGGAUGUCUGCAAGAGAGAGGACAGCCCUGCUGUGGUGACUGUGGCUUGCACCCGGGGCCAGGGCCGGGCUCAAAGUGAGGGCCAGGGUCACUUUCAGAAUUGAAAGCAGUCUUGCUUUAUGAACAGAAAGAGCACACCAAAGCUAAGUGGGGUGUGUGUGCGUGCGCGUGCGCGCACACACACACACACACACAGAUGGUCUCUCCAGGGAGGAAUUUGCUGCCCUUUUUCUCUUUCAGGUAAAACCGUGUCUCCCAUUGGUCUGAGCUGCCCUUUUGCAUGGCCAUAGCGCCUGAAUGUCUCACCACGUGGUGCUGCUCUGAAAACUGAUCAAUUACUGUAGAAUCUUGUUUCUCCAGCACCAUCUGCUGACCUUGAGCACUGCUAAAACCUAAAGGUGGAGGUCCAAGCUAUCCUCUCAUGCUUUAUUGAAACCCUCAGAGUCAUCUCUACCAGGAGACAAGGUCUAUGUGCUCAUGACUGGAGGGAAGGAGUCUCCUUCCCAAAUAUUUUGCCCCAUUUACUGGGAAGGUUAGGCUUCAGUGGAAGGCUUAGCUUCACCCAACCCCAGUGGCCUGGUUUGGGAAUAGUGAUGCCUCUUCCCCUAUCCCUGCUCUGACCACUAUAAGAUUUUUGUCUUUGCUUUUUUAAAGUUCUAUUGAAUGUGCCAUGUAGUAAGCUUCAUUCAGUUCUUGGAAGGCAAAUGACCACAAAUGUGACUACAUUUAACACUUACGUACGAAAAUAUACAAAUAAUAUUUACUGACAGUCUACCUUUAAAUUUGGAAAUUUGGCAGUUUUCCCAUCCCUUUAUGAGAAAAGAACAUUUCUGAAGAGGUUGAGACCAUCUAUCUCUAUUAGUUACUGGCUUCUGGGGGCCCAGAAGCUGGGAUGGUUUGGGGAAUUAUCUGGUGGCCCAAACAGCAAUGCUUAUCAGGGCUUGGAGAGGACAUGAGACUUAAUGGGGUGACAAGUGUGGGCAGAACUAUGCUCUGUGUGGGGAUGGGAAGGAGUCAAAGACCCACGAGAGCCACCUCUCUCUGUCUGUGCCCCUGCCCACCUCUUCCUGGUCCCUCCAAGGUCCCCCAGGAGCAAAGGGAGGACUGAAACUCUGCAACUGGACUGGAAGAGCCCAUAUCCUGAUCUUGGAUCAGGCCCACCCAUGUGAAGACCUUGCAUUAUGUCUUCUAAAAACUCAGUUGAGUGAUUGCUAUCAUCGUUAUCCUCCCCCUCAUCUUCAUCAUCAUAGAAGUUAGUAGAAACUAAUUUAUUGAGAGUUUACCACCUUCAAGGGGCUAUCGUAAGCAUUUCACACGCAUUGUGGCGUUUUGAGCUCCUAGUGACCCUAUGAAGUAACAUCCAAGUUCAUGCCAAGUCCUGGUCAGAACAGGGCUCAGCCCAUAAUAAAAGCUCCAGGAAGAAUAACCACGGUCAGCAUUCUGUAUGAGAUGGGUGCAUGGGAACAGCGCUUUGAAAGAUGACAGAGGUACCCAAGUGUGAUUCAUCAGCAGGAGCUCAUGGACUCCCACUCAGAGUCCUUGUGCAGGAGGCCAGGCUGCUGGCCUUGCAGGUCUCAGGGCACCUGGCUGUCACCUUUACGGGUCGACUGGCUCAGUCUAUAGCGGAUUCAGAGACAUGGAUGGGCUACCUUGGUCCUGGAGACCUCACCUUGAGGAUGAGGAGUAGAGAUGAGAUGCAGAGUGGCAGAAAAUUGUGAGGAACAGUAGCCCAAGGUUCCUGCUGGAGACAUAUGCCUCCCAUAGUCUCAGCUUCACAUGACAUUCUGGGCCCAAGGAGCAUCAGAGGAGGUGGUUAAAGAUGCAGGCACUUGGACUGUAUCCCUAGAGAUGCUAAUUUGCUGAGUCUGGAUUGGGCCAGGGAAUCUGCAUUUUAAUUACAUUUCCAGGUGCUCCCAGUGUCGGGGGUCCAAGGACCAGGAGACAGAUUGGAAAUGGGACUGUAAUAGAUUGAAAUUGACAGAGACUGGGAGCCGAAACAGAGACAAGGCAAAGUCACACAUCCUGCCCUGGGAGCGGAUGCUCAGAAGAUGAAACAAGGCUCAGAUUAGCUCUAAGGUCCCCGGAGCACAGUUCAGGGCUGUGACCAGCCAGGAGGAGGCUGAGGGGUGCCUCCAUCAGCCUGUAGUCCAGCUGCCUGGGUGGAAACAGCUGAACUUCAAAAGAAGCCUGGGGUUUACCCAGGCUGUGGUUGUGUGUGUGUGUGGGGGGCACCCAGAGGAGCUGACGAAAGAACUGAAGAACAAGAAGAGAGAGAGAGACUUGGGGAGAAAUGAACAGACUUGAGAUCAGGGCUUUAUUUAGGAAGGCAGUGGGCACACUUGGAAAUGCCUUCCACAUUUGUGUUUUCAUCAACACUGAAUUAUAAAACCAUCCUGGUAAUCCUUUGAACAUCCGCUCAGAGAAGUUGUUUCACGGUAAUUCCAUCUGAAACCAUUUCCUGCACCCACAAUUUAAGGACUUCCAUUAAAACAUUCUGGGAGCCAGGAGGCAAAGAACCUGGGGUAUCCUUGUCACUCCUAGCAGAUGUUUUUGUGAGUUCCUUUUUUUCCCCCCUUAAGAGACAGUGAUUCUAGAGAGUUUGGCUAAGAGGUGGAGAAAACCCCAAACAAACAAAAGAAAGCCACUCAGGAUUUGGAAGACAGAAUAGCUAAGAGCCCAGACCAUGUUCUGUCUUCGGAAGACAACAGAAGACAGGGCUCUUAGCAGUUUCACAAUAGGUGAGAUGAUGUUAUCGAAGGAAUUGCUUUCCAUGGCUUAAGUUACAGGAGGGAAAACAUGGGCUCAGAGCUUGCGAAGAGUGAAAAAAAAGACAAAGAAAAACCAAACCAGGGGAUUGUGCAGAACAGGAGAACAAGCAAAACAAGGGAAUGAACUGCCAAAGAAAGUGGAAUUUCCAUCCCUGGAGCUAUUCUGGGAGAGAGGAGGGACCUCUUUAUUACAGGUUGUUUAGAAUAAUGAACUCGAUCCCAGCACAAGGCAUGGGAAUGGACUAAAUGACCCCGGCCAAGUUCCUUCCAGUCCAAACAACUCCAUAAUUAUUGACCCAGGUGGCCAAGGGUUGGUCUCAGAGGAGGAAGAGUCCGCUUUCAAAUGACUUGCAAGGGCUCAGUUGCCAGCAGUGCUUUGUCAUUGAUUGGAUUGUUUUCAAGUCAUUUUGCUCAGCAAAAACUCCAAUGGGGAGGCCCGCUCAGCAACUGGUUUUGAGCCUUUGCUGAGGGUCUCCAGGUUUCAAACCUUUCUGGCCAAAUUUAAUUCCCAGCUGCCCUGUACAGGCUCUAGAAAGAUCCCAGAGGUCUCCUGCAGAAUUCUGCAGCUCUCUGGAGAAAGGGAGGUGGCAAAUACCCUCUCUCUUUUUCUCUUGCUGGAAAGUUCCUUCCAUUGGCCUCUAAGGCUGGUUGAUGGAGUUUCUCCCCAAGGACACCAAGCAGAGUCUACCUCGAUCCUGUUUGCAGCCCCUUGGAGUGAGUGCAACAUGACUCUGGCCUCCUGGUCUGCAGUUUUGCUCUUUUGUCACCUCAGUAGCUUGACAUGGGCAUGUCUCCCUGUCAAAAAAAAAAAAAAAAAGUCAAAAGAGACUCUUAGUCGACUUUAGCUCUCCAGUUCUCUCUCAUCUUUUACUUUCUGGGAGAGCAUCUUAAAAAGAAUUUUAGGAAAUGGGUUUCAAGCUUUUAUGUACUUACACAAUAAAUAUUUCAUAACAAUGAUUUAAUGAAAGCAUCAACCCUGAUUUUCUUAGGCUUCAGGAGCAUGAGGGAUAAAGGACCCCCACCUUGAUCAACAAACCACACGUCUCUGACUCUCCCACUUCCAUGACAGAUAAUGCAUAGGGCCUCUCAAAGCCCCGGAAGGUUCUUGAAUGAACACCAACAGUCACAGAGAGGCAGUCCACUCUAGGUCCCCUUCAUAAGAAGCCACACGGAAGUGACAAUUUUUUUUUUUUUUUUUACCACCCCUGCUGCCAGGACCUGCAGUGACAAAAUGAAUUUCCUGACAAGCUUGCUGGUUCCAGGUGGUUCCAAAAUGACAACGCCAGGGGCCCUAGGAGUGCAGUAUUCCUCAGAGUUCUCUGCAUGCUGAAAACACACCAGCAGGCUCAAAUCCUGCUGAAAUCUGGAAAGACCUCUCUCCCUUAGUCCCUACCCACCCCCCGUCUCUGUGUCUCUGUAAGUAAGACUUAGACACCAGUCACUUAGCUUGGCCAAGGUAUUAAUACCUGUGGCAGUGGCUCAGUUGCUAAGUCGUGUCUGACUCUUGUGAUCCCAAGGGCUGUAGCCUGCCAGACUCCUCUAUCUGUGGGAUUUUCCAGGCAAGAAUACUAGAGUGGGUUGCCAUGCCCUUCUUCAGGGGAUCUUCCUGACUCAGGGAUUGAACCUGCAUCUUUUAUGUCUCCUGCAUUGUCAAGCAGGUUUUUCACCACUAGCACAGCUCAUAUGCACAAUAAUGUUUAUUGAAAUGUCAUUUAGAAGAAUAAGAAAUUAGAAAUCAAUGAAAUGUUUGACCAUUAAAAAACAGGUGGGUAAAUUAUGAAACAUCCCCCUCUAAGGGAUGGUGCAUAGCCAUUAAAAAUUGUUUACAGAGGCUUUGUAGUAGCAAGGAAAAUGUUUGUCAAAUAAGAUUAAGUGAAAAAGACAAUCAGAAUACAGAAUUUUAUAUUCAACUGAUCGUAAUCAUAUAAAAGAAAAGCAAAAUUAUGUAUAAAAGGUCAGGAUAGAUACAUAAGUAAGCAUGACCAAUAUUUGUCUUUAGGUAGUAGAGUACUGAGUGAUUUAACAAAUACAUUUCUUUUUAUUUUUCUGAAUAUAUCAAAUUUAAUCAAAUGAGAGUAGCUCUUAAAUAAUGAAAAAAAUAAGCAUUAAAAAAAUUCCCAUCCCCAUUUCCGUACAGGUGAAAAUGGAGCCUGCUUCAGUUGAUGAAGGGCACGCAAUUUCAGCCUCCCACAGAGGACACUCUGGCAGCCAACGUUCUUUCCUGAGAGCAUUAUUGUUGUUGUUCAGUCAUUAAAUUGUGUCCAGCUCUUUGCAACCCCACAAACUGCAGCACUCCAGGCUUCCCUGUCCUCCACUAUCUCCCUGAGUUUGCUCAAAUUCAUGUCCAUUGAUGCUAUCUAACCAUUUCAUCCUCAGCCGCCCCCUUCUCCUUUUGCCUUCAAUCUUUCCCAGCAUCAGGGUCUUUUCCAAUGAGUCAGCUCUUUGUAUCAGGUGGCCAAAUUAUUGCGGUUUCAGCUUCAGCAUCAGUCCUUCCAAUGAAUACUCAGGGUUGAUUUUCUUUAGGAUUGACUGGUUGAUCUCCUUGCAGACUAAGGGACCCUCAAGAGUCUUCUCUAGCAUCACAGUUCGAAAGCAUCAAUUCUCUGUGCUUAGCCUUCUUUAUGGUCCAGCUCUCACAUCCAUAUAUGACUACUGGAAAAACCAAAGCUUUGAUAAUAUGGAUUGUCAGCAAAGUGAUGUCUCUGCAUUUUAAUAUGCAGUCUAGGUUUGUCUUUCAAGGAGCAAAUGUCUUCUAAUUUCCCAACUGCAGUCAAUGUCUGCAGUGAUUUUGGAGCCCAAGAAAAUAAAAUCUGUCACUGUUUCCACUUUUCCCCCUUCUGUUUGUCAUGAAGUAAUGGGACAGGAUGCCAUGAUAUUAGUUUUUUGAAUGCUGAAUUUUAAGCCAACUUUUUCACUCUUCUUUUUCACCCUCAUCAAGAGGCACUUUAGUUCCCCUUCACUUUCUGCCAUUAAGUGGUAUCAUCUACCUAUCUGAGGUUGUUGAUAUUUCUCCUGGCAAUCUUGAUUCCAGCUUGUGAUUCAUCCAGCCCAGCAUUUUGCAUGAUGUACUCUGCGUAUAAGUUAAAUAAGCAGGGUGACAGUAUACAGCCUUGAUGUACUCCUUUCCCAGUUUUGAACUCGUCUAUUGCUCCAUUUCUUAUUCUAACUCUUGCUUCUUGACCCGCACACAAGUUUCUCAGAAGACAGGUAAGGUGGUCUGGUAUUCCCAUCUCUUUAAGAAUUUUCCACAGUUUGUUGUGAUCCACACAGUCAAAGGUUUUCAUGUAGUCAAUGAAGUAGGAGUAGAAGUUUUUCCAGAAUUUCCUUGCUUUCUCUAUGAUCCAGUGAUGCUGGCAAUUUGAUGUCUGGUUCCUCUGCCUUUUCUAAAUCCAGUUUGUACAUCUGGAAGUUCUUGGUUCACAUACUGUGCAAGCCUAACUUGAAGGAUUUGAGCAACUUUGCUAGCAUGUAAAAUGAGUGCAAUUGUGUGGUAGUUUGAACAUUUGGCAUUUGGUAUUGCCUUUCUUUGGGAUUAGAACGAAAACUGACCUUUUCCAGUCCUGUGGUCACUGCUGAGUUUUUCAAAUUUGAUGGCAUAUUGAGUGCAGCACUUUAAUAGCAUCUGCUUUUAGGAUUUGAAAUAGCUCAGCUGGAAUUCCAUCACCUCCACUAACUUUUUUUGUAGUAAUGCAUCCUAAGACCCACUUGACUUCACACUCCAGGAUGUCUGUCUCUAGGUGAGUGACCACACCAUCGUGGUUAUCUGAGUCAUUAAAAUAUUUUUUGUAUAGUUCUGUAUAUUCUUAUCACCCCUUCUUAGGCACUUGCCUUUUCUGUCCUUUAUCAUGCCCAUUCUUGCAUGAAAUGUAGCUUUAUAUCUCCAGUUUUCUUGAAGAGAUCUCUAGUCUUUCCCAUUCUGUUGUUUUCUUCUAUUUCUUUGCAUUGGUCACUUAAGAAGGCUUUUUUUUUUUUAAUCUCUUCUUGAUAUUUUCUGGAACUCUUCAUUCAGUUGGGUAUAUCUUUCCCUUCUCCCUUGCCUUUCAAACAUUUGUCCAUACUUCUUCAGGCACUCUGUCUACCUAAUCCCUUGAAUCUGUUCAUCACCUCCACUAUGUAAUCAUAAGGAAUUUGAUUUACGUCAUACCUGAAUGGCCUAGUGGUUUCCUCUUUUGGCCCCACCAGAAGAUCUGUUUCAGAAAUGUGGUCUCUGUCAGUUCCAACUGUUUAUUGCACACCUAGCAUAUGUCCAGCAUUAUCUCACUGAGAAAGACAGAGCAUGCAUAUAAAUUGAAGACCACUUAGGAACUCCUUAUAAUUCUAGAAGGGAUUAUAUUACCUCUUGGCUCUGCCCCUACAGCUAUACUCAACUUGGGAUGCUGGGGUUGGGAUUCUGCACAUCCCAUUAAUACUCUGCAAAGCUGAAACUCUUUUGGCUACCUGAUGCGAAGAACUGACUCAUUGGAAAAGACCCUGAUGCUGGGAAAGAUUA
ensembl:lncRNA